rnacentral:rRNA from 1 species
UACGGAGGGUGCAAGCGUUGUCCGGAAUCACUGGGCGUAAAGGGCGCGUAGGCGGCUCAUGAAGGCUGUGGUGAAAGUCCGGGGCUCAACCUCGGAUCGGCCGUGGCGACUCGUGGGCUGGAGCACUGUAGAGGCGGGUGGAAUUCCGGGUGUAGCGGUGGAAUGCGUAGAGAUCCGGAAGAACACCAGUGGCGAAGGCGGCCCGCUGGGCAGUGGCUGACGCUGAGGUGCGAAAGCGUGGGGAGCAAACAGGG